CUAAACUGAAAAUUGAAAGGGUGAAGUGAAAGCUGUUGUCACUUGUAUGUUCACUCACUCUCCAAUAGGCCUAUGAACAAUAUGACUAUUGACUACUGCCCUUUGUGAGUGUGGCAGUGGACCAGUUUUGGUGCAGGAAGUGGUUGGUAUAUGGUUGUUCGCAGUAUGAGUAAAAGCAUCAUGUAUCUUUCUUAGUUGUGAGCUAGGCACAGAGAGCUGGUUAUGUGCUUCGCGAUCGGGAAGGCAGUUGGUUAAGUAGCGAGAAAGAAGGAAACUCGAAAUAAAUGGUUCGAGACUAUGAACCUAUGACUGAACGGAACACACGGCAAGUCGGCAACUGGGCCUCAGUGUUACCUACGUUGUUGAUGUGAACGUGUGUAGACUUUGGCCUGCCGAAGGUAAGGAAUAUAUUUGUUACUUAUAAUUAUGUUAUCACUACCGAUGUCCUCCCUUUUCUACAAACGUUUUACAAGUAUCUCCGUGAUAAUCUGGAAGGACAAAGACUAAUAAUAAGGCCGGUGUGUGUGUGUGUGUGUGUGUGUGUGUGUGUGUGUGUGUGUGUGUGUGUGUGUGUGUGUGUGUCGCCAGCUCUUGUCUACCUACAUAAGGCUGAGGGCCUGACCCACUCUGAUGUCAUCACUAAUAUAGCCAAUAUACCCAAACCUUCCGUUCUAGAUGGGCUUGACUCAUCAUCAAGUGAGAGACCUUCUUUAUUUAUUUCUCUUUGUUUCAGUUUGACUUGUGACCUGGGUAGUGAAACCUUCUAAGUCUCUGAUUGUAAAAUGGAUUCUGAAGCCAGAAGAGAGCAACAGUUUGUGG